UACUGGUGGGUGAGCAGAUAAUCUGCCAAGGCGCUUGAGAGAACUCGGGUUAAGGAACUCUGCAAAUUGAUACCGUAACUUCGGAAGAAGGUAUGCCUUCGACGGUGUAGGGAUUUACUCCCGAAGCUGUUGAAGGUCGCAGGUAAUCGGUGGCUGCGACUGUUUAUCAAAAACACAGGACUCUGCGAACACGCAAGAGGAAGUAUAGGGUCUGACGCCUGCCCGGUGCCGGAAGGUUAAUUGAUGGGGUUAGCCGCAAGGCGAAGCUCUUGAUCGAAGCCCCGGUAAACGGCGGCCGUAACGAUAACGGUCCUAAGGUAGCGAAAUUCCUUGUCGGGUAAGUUCCGACCUGCACGAAUGGCGUAACGCUGGCCACACUGUCUCGACCCGAGACUCAGUGAAGUUGAAAUCGCUGUGAAGAUGCGGCGUUCCCGCGGCAAGACGGAAAGACCCCGUGAACCUUCACUACAGCUUUACACUGAACUUUGAACCUUUCUGUGUAGGAUAGGUGGGAGGCUAUGAAACUUGGGCGCUAGCUCGAGUGGAGCCAACCUUGAAAUACCACCCUGGGAUGUUUGAAGUUCUAACCUUGGUCCGUAAUCCGGAUUGGGGACAGUGUAUGGUGGGUAGUUUGACUGGGGCGGUCUCCUCCCAAAGAGUAACGGAGGAGUGCAAUGGUACGCUCAGCGCGGUCGGUCAUCGCGCUCUAGAGUGCAAAGGCAUAAGCGUGCUUAACUGUGAGACAGACACGUCGAACAGGUACGAAAGUAGGUCUUAGUGAUCCGGUGGUUCUGUAUGGAAGGGCCAUCGCUCAACGGAUAAAAGGUACUCCGGGGAUAACAGGCUUAUUCCUCCCAAGAGUCCACAUCGACGGAGGAGUUUGGCACCUCGAUGUCGGCUCAUCACAUCCUGGGGCUGUAGCAGGUCCCAAGGGUAUGGCUGUUCGCCAUUUAAAGUGGUACGCGAGCUGGGUUCAGAACGUCGUGAGACAGUUCGGUCCCUAUCUGCCGUGGGCGUUGGAAACUUGAGGGUGAGCUGUCCUUAGUACGAGAGGACCGGGAUGGACGUAUCUCUGGUGUUCCGGUUGUCACGCCAGUGGCACUGCCGGGUAGCUAUAUACGGACGGGAUAAGCGCUGAAAGCAUCUAAGCGCGAAGCCCCCCCCAAGAUUAGGUUUCCCUGGGAACUCGAUUCCCCUAAAGGGCCGUCGGAGACUACGACGUUGAUAGGCUGGGUGUGUAAGUGCAGCAAUGCAUUGAGCUAACCAGUACUAAUUGCCCGUGAGGCUUGACCAA
rnacentral:rRNA from 1 species